GCAGUUCAGUGGGUAGACCAUGAGACUCUUAAUCUCAGGGUGGUGGGUUUGUGCCCUACAUUGGGCA